UACAGAGGUCUCAAGCGUUGUUCGGAUUCAUUGGGCGUAAAGGGUGCGUAGGUGGCGCUGUAAGUCGGGGUGUGAAAUUUCGGAGCUUAACUCCGAAACUGCAUUCGAUACUGCGGUGCUUGAGGACUGGAGAGGAGAGUGGAAAUUCCUGGUGUAGCGGUGAAAUGCGCAGAUAUCAGGAAGAACACCCGUGGGCUAAGGCGGCUCUCUAGUACGGUACUGACGCUGAGACGCGAAAGCGUGGGGAGCGAACAGG
rnacentral:rRNA from 1 species